rnacentral:rRNA from 1 species
CCUACGGGUGGCAGCAGUGGGGAAUAUUGGGCAAUGGGCGCAAGCCUGACCCAGCAACGCCGCGUGAAGGAAGAAGGCUCUCGGGUUGUAAACUUCUUUUAUCAGGGACGAAGCAAGUGACGGUACCUGAUGAAUAAGCCACGGCUAACUACGUGCCAGCAGCCGCGGUAAUACGUAGGUGGCAAGCUUUAGCCGGAUUUACUGGGUGUAAAGGGCGUGUAGGCGGGAAAGGAAGGCAGAUGUGAAAACCAUGGGCUCAACCUGUGGCCUGAAUUUGAAACUGUUUUUAUUGAGUACUGGAGAGGCAGACGGAAUUCCUAGUGUAGCGGUGAAAUGCGUAGAUAUUAGGAGGAACACCAGUGGCGAAGGCGGUCUGCUGGACAGCAACUGACGCUGAGGCGCGAAAGCGUGGGGAGCAAACAGGAUUAGAUACCCGGGUAGUC